rnacentral:rRNA from 1 species
AAAUCGUACCCCAAACCGACACAGGUGGUCAGGUAGAGAAUACCAAGGCGCUUGAGAGAACUCGGGUGAAGGAACUAGGCAAAAUGGUGCCGUAACUUCGGGAGAAGGCACGCUGAUAUGUAGGUGAAGCCCCUGCGGGUGGAGCUGAAAUCAGUCGAAGAUACCAGCUGGCUGCAACUGUUUAUUAAAAACACAGCACUGUGCAAACACGAAAGUGGACGUAUACGGUGUGACGCCUGCCCGGUGCCGGAAGGUUAAUUGAUGGGGUUAGCGGCAACGCGAAGCUCUUGAUCGAAGCCCCGGUAAACGGCGGCCGUAACUAUAACGGUCCUAAGGUAGCGAAAUUCCUUGUCGGGUAAGUUCCGACCUGCACGAAUGGCGUAAUGAUGGCCAGGCUGUCUCCACCCGAGACUCAGUGAAAUUGAACUCGCUGUGAAGAUGCAGUGUACCCGCGGCAAGACGGAAAGACCCCGUGAACCUUUACUAUAGCUUGACACUGAACACUGGUCCUUGAUGUGUAGGAUAGGUGGGAGGCUUUGAAGUGUGGACGCCAGUCUGCAUGGAGCCGUCCUUGAAAUACCACCCUUUAAUGGCUGGUGUUCUAACGUAGACCCGUAAUCCGGGUUGCGGACAGUGUCUGGUGGGUAGUUUGACUGGGGCGGUCUCCUCCCAAAGAGUAACGGAGGAGCACGAAGGUUAGCUAAUCCUGGUCGGACAUCAGGAGGUUAGUGCAAUGGCAUAAGCUAGCUUGACUGCGAGAGUGACGGCUCGAGCAGGUGCGAAAGCAGGUCAUAGUGAUCCGGUGGUUCUGAAUGGAAGGGCCAUCGCUCAACGGAUAAAAGGUACUCCGGGGAUAACAGGCUGAUACCGCCCAAGAGUUCAUAUCGACGGCGGUGUUUGGCACCUCGAUGUCGGCUCAUCACAUCCUGGGGCUGAAGUAGGUCCCAAGGGUAUGGCUGUUCGCCAUUUAAAGUGGUACGCGAGCUGGGUUUAGAACGUCGUGAGACAGUUCGGUCCCUAUCUGCCGUGGGCGCUGGAGAAUUGAGGGGGGCUGCUCCUAGUACGAGAGGACCGGAGUGGACGCAUCACUGGUGUUCGGGUUGUCAUGCCAAUGGCACUGCCCGGUAGCUAAAUGCGGAAAAGAUAAGUGCUGAAAGCAUCUAAGCACGAAACUUGCCCCGAGAUGAGUUCUCCCUGAGACUUUAAGUCUCCUGAAGGAACGUUGAAGACGACGACGUUGAUAGGUCGGGUGUGUAAGCGCAGCGAUGCGUUGAGCUAACCGAUACUAAUGAACCGUGAGGCUUAACCUU